AUUCUCAAACUUUUGUCAUUUCUCUUCUCUCAAAACCACUUUAGUGGACCUGUUCUCUGUAAGGUCACUACUGCCCUCCACUUCAAAUUCCAUUGUCUCCUCAAGUCCUCAACUUAGUCAUUUGACGAAUGUUAUUAUUUCCUUCCUGAAACACUCUUCUUCCUUCUGGGAUCCUCUGCUCUCCUAGUACUUCUCCUACCUUCCUGGGUGCUCUCUCUGCUCCUAAUAACCAAGCAGCUCACUUUUCCUUGGAGGCCUGCCAUUGCUCCUGGUCACUACACCUAGACUUUGAGAAGAAAGCAGAAAUGGAUAACCUGGGUAUGUUCUCGUUGCAAACACAGAAGAAGUAAGUGAAAACACUCAAGGCCUUUUGAGACCUAGACCUGGAACUGGCCCACCAUCACUUCCACCACAUUCUAUUGCCCAAAACAAGUUACAGGGCCAGCCCAGAUUCAAGGGAAAGGAAAAUAGACUCUGUCUCUUCAGUGGAUGAAAUUCCAAGAUCACCUGGUAAAGGAAGAGGUGAAGAAGUAAGGUCAUUAAUGUAAUCUUUCAUACUGUAACACUUUCUUUUUGACUUAGAAGGUUGAGUGUAUUUUGUAUGUCAAUCACACCUCAGUAAAACGGUUUUU
rnacentral:lncRNA from 1 species